UUGUACAUGUCAACAAAAGUUAUAGGUUCUUCCAUUAUCGAUUUCUCUCCUUCGUUGAUCUUCAACGGAUAAACAGUCGCCUCUGGAGCAGGGUUUUGGAAUGUCGCUAUGGAUAGCCGACUGGUUGUUGAAUUCACAACGGCCCGAUGGUCUGCGUUCUUAAACCUACCGUUGCUCAAAUACUGCUCCAAAAUGAAAGUUGUGUUAUUUUCAUGUCAUAUAACAUGUAUAACUUCUCAACCAAAAAUACACGUAAAGGAAAUACGAAAAGGAAAUCAUCGUAUAAAUCAAUACUAUCAACACUUACAUGUCCAUGAUCACCAAGAUUGACCACGAAUGCACCUUCAACAGGUUGGACCGUUAUCCAACUCUUGCCACCAUCGCGGGUGGCUUGGAGCCCUCCAACUUGAUCUUGAAGCAACAAUGUGAUCGUUCCUGGAUCGGUAUGUCGCUUAAGGCCCAAUGUGAGAUCGGG
rnacentral:lncRNA from 1 species